rnacentral:rRNA from 1 species
GAGAAGCAAGACCGUGAGGUGGAGCAAAACUCAAAAACUUGUCUCAGUUCGGAUUGUAGGCUGAAACUCGCCUACAUGAAGCUGGAGUUGCUAGUAAUCGCGAAUCAGCAUGUCGCGGUGAAUACGUUCCCGGGCCUUGUACACACCGCCCGUCACACCAUGAGAGUUGGCAAUACCCAACGUACGUGAUCUAACCCGCAAGGGAGGAAGCGUCCUAAGGUAGGGUCAGCGAUUGGGGUGAAGUCGUAACAAGGUAGC